ACUAAAACAUGGGGAAUGCUGCUAGGCCCACGACUAACGUUUAUGUUCAAUUAUUAUGGAGUGACACUACCCACCGUUUCAUCAGACAGUUGUCCUCCAUCCUAUAACGUCCAUAUCUCCAGACUUUUGAAGCCAUCUUUGCUGAGAUGUUAGCAUGGUGCUGGUUGGCUGAUUCUGCUCCUACCGCAGCACUGCCUGGAUUCCAUGUAUUUUCCCGCUUUUAAAUCAAAGAAUAUGUCAAGGCUUAUCUCCUUAUAUAAGUUUGAAUCUAAAGAAGGUCAGCUAACUAUGGAAUUUUUGUUUGUUCGUAAAUCAGCACAAAGCUAUACAUUGGGCUAUCUGUUCUCUGUCUACCACGGGUAUCAAAACCCGGUUUCCUUCCAGUAUUGUAAGUCUGCAGAGAUACCACUGAGCCACUGAAGGGCCUAACUACAAAGCACGUGUUAUAAAACUUUCAGCCUUAAAGACAUACAGAAUUUCUUAUUAUGCUAAACACUUAUUGGAUGUUUCUUUUUCAUUAAAAGUUUGUUAAAUAUUUCA